rnacentral:lncRNA from 1 species
GGGACCUUGGGGAGGAAGUGGGCCGGGGGAUCCUGGGGGAGAGGUGGGUUGGGGAGACCCAGGAGGGAGAAGGUGGGCCUGGGGAGGCCGGCUGGGGACUCCUGUUCCUCCUGGGUCCAGGACGAGAGCCUGUUGUCUGUCUUUUCCCGUCCAGACAGCCAAGAAGCAACUCCUUCGCCCUAACUUUCUUAGGACCCCAAAGUGGGGCGGAGAGGGAGUAUUCCCCUCUUCUUGGGCCUUGCUGCCUUUUUCUCAUCUCGAGUUCCGAGUUCUGGGCCAGAGACAACUUCCCCUUCCCCUUCUUCCUGGCUAGGUGCUGCCUGCUCCCUCCCAGACCCCGUGGGCUUCCCUGAUUCUCAGCCCUCAGGGAAGAGAACAGAAGUCAGGGGUUGAAGGCAUGCUGGCCUGGGUCUACUCUAAAGAGACAGCUUACCUGGUGCAUAUGUUGCCUCGGGUCCCAGUUAGAGCCCCCAGGCCUGAGAUUAAGAGGCAGGGUGCUGUCAGCUACCCUGCGUCUGUUCUGUGCGGGGCAGCAGUAAGGAGAAGCCGAGAGAUGACCUGCCUUGUUGCUCUGGCCCCUGGAGAUUUUGCCCUGAACUGGCUCUCUGGCCUCACCUAUGGUGUCACUCUUGUAUGGGGGACUCUAGAGGAUACCCUUUAUCACAGAAAACCCACUAUACUGUGGCCCUUAGAGAAGGAGUUGAAAAUGCAUGUGCAGCAAUCUCAAUGACCAAGUUUGCCCAAGCAGCAGUUUGCCAUACUAAUAAAUAUCUGGAAGCUCAUAGCCACCAGUCUGAGCACCUCUUGUAAUUGUAGAGGCCA